rnacentral:rRNA from 1 species
AGAGUUUGAUCCUGGCUCAGGAUGAACGCUGACAGAAUGCUUAACACAUGCAAGUCUUUGGCGAAGCUGUGCUUGCACAGCCUAGCCAAGGCGGACGGGUGAGUAACGCGUAAGGAACUUGCCCUGCAGUCAGGGAUAACAGACGGAAACGACUGAUAAGACCUGGUAAAGUCAGGCGGACUCAUGUCCAGCCUGAUGAAAAGAGAUGCUGCAGGAGAGCCUUGCGUCCUAUUAGCUUGUUGGUGGGGUAACGGCCCACCAAGGCGAUGAUAGGUAGCCGGCCUGAGAGGGUGGACGGCCACAAGGGGACUGAGAUACGGCCCUUACUCCUACGGGAGGCAGCAGUGGGGAAUAUUGGACAAUGGGGGCAACCCUGAUCCAGCAAUUCUGUGUGCACGAUGAAGGUUUUCGGAUUGUAAAGUGCUUUCAGCAGGGAAGAAAAAAAUGACGGUACCUGCAGAAGAAGCGACGGCUAAAUACGUGCCAGCAGCCGCGGUAAUACGUAUGUCGCAAGCGUUAUCCGGAAUUAUUGGGCAUAAAGGGCAUCUAGGCGGCCAGAUAAGUCUGGGGUGAAAACUUGCGGCUCAACCGCAAGCCUGCCCUGGAAACUAUGUGGCUAGAGUACUGGAGAGGUGGACGGAACUGCACGAGUAGAGGUGAAAUUCGUAGAUAUGUGCAGGAAUGCCGAUGAUGAAGAUAGUUCACUGGACGGUAACUGACGCUGAAGUGCGAAAGCUAGGGGAGCAAACAGGAUUAGAUACCCUGGUAGUCCUAGCUGUAAACGAUGAUUACUGGGUGUGGGCAUGAAGAGUGUCCGUGCCGAAGCUAAUGCGAUAAGUAAUCCGCCUGGGGAGUACGGCCGCAAGGCUGAAACUCAAAGGAAUUGACGGGGACCCGCACAAGCGGUGGAGUAUGUGGUUUAAUUCGAAGCAACGCGAAGAACCUUACCAGGCCUUGACAUUGACUGAAAGCGCUAGAGAUAGCGCCCUCUCUUCGGAGACAGGAAAACAGGUGGUGCAUGGCUGUCGUCAGCUCGUGUCGUGAGAUGUUGGGUUAAGUCCCGCAACGA